ACGUCGUGAGACAGUUCGGUCCCUAUCCGUCGCGGGCGUAGGAAAUUUGAGAGGACCUGUCCUUAGUACGAGAGGACCGGGAUGGACAUACCUCUGGUGUACCAGUUGUGCCGCCAGGCGCAUCGCUGGGUAGCUACGUAUGGAUGUGAUAAACGCUGAAAGCAUCUAAGUGUGAAACACACCUCGAGAUGAGAUUUCCCAUUCCUUUAUGGAAGUAAGACCCCUGAAAGAUGAUCAGGUAGAUAGGUUAGAAGUGGCAGUGCGGUGACGCAUGAAGCGGACUAAUACUAAUCGGUCGAGGACUUAACCAA
rnacentral:rRNA from 1 species